AUGGAAUUGAGUUUGUCUCAUACGUUUCAUCUUUUUAAUAUCUUUCGUGAGUAUGAUGGAAAGAAAAAUUGUGCCAAAGUGUUAGAAGAAGAAUGCAUUAAAUUGUUUGGCACUAAAUAUGUGAAUGAUGAGCAUGAUUGCAAUUUUGUUAGUACGAAUUCUUUGAAUAUCCAUGAUGCUAGUGAUGAUUGCACUAGUUAUGAUGAAAAUGCCUCCUAUAAACAUGUCAAUUUUUGUGGAGUGCAUUGGGUUUGCAAGUACGCACCAAAUAGGGAAGAUAGAUAUUGCGAGAGGCAUAAGUAUUUAGAAACUAAAUUGUUGCAAGAAAGUCUUGAUGUGAGUGCUGAAAAUUUAAAAUAUCUUUACCGUACUUGUGAACUUUGCAAUGAACAUGGUCAUUUAAAUAUCAAAUGCAAAUUGUUUCAUGAUCGAAUUGUGUCCAAAAAUUGUGAUGACCUGAUUUCCCUUGUGCAUUAUAAUGAACUAAGUUUGCUUUUGGGUUAUGAAGAAUUGAAGCGUCAAACUAAGCAUAUUCCAGAAUAUAACCUCAAGAAAUUCCUCGAUAUUGAUCUGGAAGAGAUUUAUAUGUAUUGUGCGGUGAAUUGCAUUGAAAAUCCUUAUAUUGCCAAUUACAUAAAGAAAAGAAAAGAAAUAGAAGAUGAAUAG
rnacentral:rRNA from 1 species